UAGCUGCUGAGGAAUGCUGGGAGAACCUGGUGGCCUGUGUUUGCUUUGAUAUGUUAAUAGGUACUUCAGACAUUUGUGACAGUUUUGAGUUUGUGACAGUUUUGAGACUUGGACACUACCCGCGUUCCUUCCUUCCUUCCUUCCUUCCUUCCUUCCUUCCUUCCUUCCUUCCUUCCNNNNNNNNNNCUCUUCCUUCUUCCUCUACCCCCUCCCUCGCCCCUUUCUACUUUUCUUUAGGGUUCCUUUCUUUCUUCCCUCUUUGAUCUGUCCUUUCCGUCCCUCCUCCACUUUUCUCUGGGUUCCAGGGAUUGAGCACUGACCCUGAGCAUGAUCAAACUGUAUCUGGAAGGGCGUUGUCUGUGCUUGCUUGGCUGUGUCUCUGCUGCCCCUGAGCUCAUGAAAUAUAAAGGACCUCCUGAGGGAAUGUCUGUUCCUCACGCCAGUGCAAGGCAAGCAGGAAAGCCCUGUGCAAAACUAUGAAGCAGAGGAAGUCAGAGUUUGAGAAAACACCUCAAGCUUCUCCUUACACUUUGGUAUGACUGUAAAAUACAGCGUUCUCUCCACAAGGGAAGCUCCCUCGCCUCUUUAAGGACACUCAUGAGUGCCUUACACCUGCUCCCCUCUAUAAUUCAUCACUUGCAGGUUAGUAUCCACGAGCGUGUUGAUCAAGUUCUCUUUUUGUAUCAUUUCUUGAUUUGUAACUUUAAUAUUUUUAUUUCACUUUUUGUUAUUUGUAUUCAAUAUCUCAUGUUUUUUAGAAACCAUUGCUUUUAUGAAAAUUUGGGAGGUGGAACCUUUGAACUCUGCUCUUGUGGGCAGGAUAGUGAUACUAUAGACAUUGCUGCUGGGAGAGGAUUCUUUCUCCUGCCCUUUGCUCCCUACCAUUGGAUAAAAUUAAAUUGGAGAAUUGAACACAAGGGUGAGAUAAGUUUGGAACAGUAUGUAUCAUAUGCUGGAGAUGUGCACUCAUUUUGAGAACAUGCCAAAUAUACAAAAUAGAAUGGACAUCAUAAAGGAUGGAUGGAUAUUACUUAACUGAAAAUAGAAUUCUGGAAGAACACACAUGGAACCAUUGAUUACUGAAAACGCAAUGUCCUGGUAUGGGAAAGAAGACAGC
rnacentral:lncRNA from 1 species